rnacentral:rRNA from 1 species
UACAGAGGUCUCAAGCGUUGUUCGGAUUCAUUGGGCGUAAAGGGUGCGUAGGCGGCGCGGUAAGUCGGGUGUGAAAUCUCGGAGCUUAACUCCGAAACUGCAUUCGAUACUGCCGUGCUUGAGGACUGGAGAGGAGACUGGAAUUUACGGUGUAGCGGUGAAAUGCGUAGAUAUCUGGAGGAACACCGGUGGCGAAGGCGGCAUCCUGGACCAACACUGACGCUGAGGAGCGAAAAGCCAGGGGAGCAAACGGG